AAUCAUCUGACGCAAAAUCAUUCACGCGGAAAUACUGGUAAAAAGACGAUCCCGUCAGUACAAGGGCCCAGUCAGUACUUGAAAUUGCAAGGCGGACAAAAAAUAGACCUUAUUUCCAAAAUAGGCAUAACUUUUGGAGGUUUGUCAAAAUCUAGACCCAAGCCAGAUUAGCUUGAAAUUUUUUAAAGGGAAAGUGAAUUGUCAUAUUCAGAAUUAAACAAGCAAAUGUUAACUGACUCGCUGGAGCUGCCACCAUGGCUAUAGCUGAAGAAGCAACAUGCAAUCAAAUUUGCACAAAGGGAGUUUGUACGUGGCACACUUACAUUAAAAGAAUACUAUGGCAAGUGCAAAAAAAUCAGUUGUACAGAGCAUAAAUAUAAGCAUGAUGAUGUAAUGAUGGUGACGAUGUUGAUAAUGCUUACGAGGAUGACAAAAGUAGCGACGAUGUUGAUGAUGGCAAUGAAUAUUUUAGUGAUGGUGGUAUAGGUGGAGAUAGAAUACUAGAUGAAAGAAGCUCUGGGUUAGGCCAAGGUUUGUUUCUACGACAGAGUAUAAAGUAACUGCAUCGAAUUAUGAUCUUUGAUUAACCAAAAUAGAUCUAAACAAUCUUUUGGUGGUACAAAACUUGUAAAUGGCUUUGAAAAAAGCAAACAUUUAGUAAACUAAAGCUUUUCGUCUGACACUCUUCAGAGUUUAAAACGUCAGAACAUAGAUCGAAAACUCUACGCUAAGAAAUAUAUAUACCCAGUUGCGGAUCGAAAUAGGCCAAUCAGAAACACGAGCCGAGCGAUCGCGCCUUACCAAUAAUCCGAAACAUGUCGCCAUUAUAGUUUUUUGCACAAUUUGGGUUUUCUAGCAAAUGUUUUGUUUCUAAUAUUAGAUGGAACAUGUUGUUUUAUCCUAUCCUCCAUUCUUUGGGGGGUGCGUCCUACGUAGCCAGAAUCACACUGGCACGUAAAUUCAUAUACAACAGAACUUUUUUUUGUGGCAGGAACGCAAUUCUUUUUGAAUGGACGAAAGGACCUUUUUCGUACUAUAAACAACACGUGGGUUGACCGCGAAAAAACAAUUUGUUAUGGCCUGUUUUAUUUGGCUUUCAAAACGAAGGGAGCUGUUACCGAUCCAGGGUAGUUUUAGAUAGACCGGGCACUUUUGAGGACAAAAUUUUACGUCAGCCGAAAAAUUUCCUAUCUUCUCCUUAAUGUAAACUGAAAUAACAUCUUCUGGAUAGCCGUUCUCCAGAAAAAUCUUAGUUAGUUUUUCAAGUUCCGAGUCGAGUUUAGACUUGGAACAAAUCAUCAGUGCCCUAUGUGUAAGCGUUUUGAUGAGGCUGAUUUUUCUUUGUUUUGGGCAAAACGAACUCCAUCGAGUGUACAACCCCGAAAAUGUGGGUUUACGGUAUACACUAGUGAGAAAUCCAGUGUCAGAUUUUUCAACCAAAACAUUCAGAAAUGGCAAGGAGUUAUUUUCUUCCUUAGAUCUAGCGACAAUGGGAAUUUUCAUUCUCAAGAUCGUCCAGCAUAUCUGUAAAAGUAGAACAUGAUUGCCUAAAGAUGCCAAGAAAGAGAGCUGAUUUAGAGCUUAAAAAAUUUAACGGACUUGUACGAACUGCUAAGAGUUUUUAAAAGAGAUUUUACUUAUUUUUUUGCGAAAACUUUUAACAUUAAGAUCUUUCUCAAAGCCAACUAUAAGUUCAAUGAUGUGAAUGAUUUUCUUGAAGCAAUCAGCAGCAUAUCAGGCAGUGGUGGGUUGGCCCACCAGCCCAUCGGCCCAUGGCCGGUGGGCCCCCUUUAAAAUCUGGCAAAAAGGUCCCCAUCUUUGCAGAAAAAGGGCCCCAUUUUAGGAAUGUGGGGCCUUAAGAUGUUCUAUUAAGAAUAAUAAAUAUCAAGGAUUACAUCAAAACUGAGUUUGAAUAAGCGUCAUAGCAUGUGGUUAUGAAAUGAGUUGGGUCGAAGCUAAAAAAAAGGAUGACUUUUUUAGGUUAUGAAAGGUUAAUGGACAUUUGGAAUUUUUAAUAUGAUGGAAUUUUCUGAAAUUUUUGAUUUUCAUAGACACGGGUUCAGUUAAUCUGCCCGGCAUUAAUUGUAGAGUUCACUUAAUUUUGCCAGUUAGCAAAAAAGUAAAGAGUGAUUCAGUAACAAACUUGGCGUUAACUUCUUCUUUUGCUCAAGCCAUAGCAUUAAGAUAAUGCGAUGUGAAUGAUUCUUCAACGGAGGUUGCUGCAUCGUAUUAAAGAUUCGUUUACCGAAUAAUCUAAUUGUUUGCUUGCCCUGGAAUGUUUAGUAUAAACACGAACGGGUAAGGUAUUGCCUCAUAAAAUGAAAAAUUGAUAUAAAAAGAUGUCAAUAAAAUGGCAAGAAGUAGGCAAAUUUCACAAUGGACGAAUAAAUUCCGAGUCUCAGAAAGGAAGGCAAAGUUUAUGCAAAAAGGGGACAGGACUGAUCAGUGGUUUCUUGGAAUGCAAAUUAAAGAAAUGCAACUUCUGGUAGCAUUUGAUUGAAAUGGUCUUCGAGAUGAUAAACCUAAAACUUUUGUGGAAAAUAUAGUUUGUAAGCACGAUUUGAGUCAAAAAUACAGACAGCAAACCAAUUUAGAGGAUGAUUACACAAAAAUUAUAGGGAACCUUCUUGCUAUGAUUUAGCUAUAAUAUCAUGAUUAAGAUUUCAAAUUUUCGUAUACAGAAAUGAUUCGCUUUGGCUUUAUUUGUAGCUAAGCAUUUCUUUCCAUUUUGUAUUGUUAAUAGCUGCAUAUGAGCCACAACUUUCAUAAAGCGAGUCAGUGUACCUUCCUUUCUAGUUUGCUUCUUUUAGGUCUGCCAGUUUAUCCUAUCCUUUAUGCAUCUGAGGUUAGAUUUCUUAUAACUUUUAACUUUGUUUCUUCGAGAAAGUCUCUUGUUCAAAAUGACUGAAAUCCAAAUCAGACAGAGUCAUCUCUCCAGGUGUUGCGCCCAUCCAGCUGCGACAUAAAGCAUUGUUUCUGGAAGGAGGCAAAAAGAACAAGUGGAGGUUUCAUAAAAGUUCCAUUUAAAGAGAUUUUCACUAGUGGCAAGCAUGUUGUUGAGGUUUCUUAUCGAGAAGUUAAAUGUGUUUUUAGGCAAAGAGCUCUGUGCACAGUCGACCAGGGGCUAUUGAAAUGUUUCAGAAAAUUCUCUAGUAGAGAGGAGAUUAUUGUUCCUUGGCUUGCGAGCUGGUUUUUUAGUUUGUCUUCGUGCUGGCUUCUAAUUUCUUUCAAAACUGCCUUCGUGUUCAUUCAUUGAUCAUGUUGGAUAUUCUUUCCGUAGGAGGUGUUUGCCAAAGAUGUUUGAUUUGAUUAUGUUUCAAGUGUUAACGACCGUCGAUGGGUGACUUAGCACUGCAGGAAUUUGCAAGGUGGAAGCAUAAAGUUAAGACCAAAGCUGCUUUUAGGGAGAAUGAUACCACUGAUUGUAGUAGUGAAUGGAAGAUCAAGCCAUUGCCUGACAUAUUUUGUAACAAGAUUGUCAAGGUUUCUAGCAAUCCAUGUUUUUGGCAAGUCAAUUAUAGUGAGAUGCCAUUAUAAUAAAGAAAGAACAUAUUUUUGGUACAGAUGAAGUUUGUUCUUUGGAAGAAUAGGCAAUGCAUAAAUUUUGUGGAGUAAGUUUUUUAGAAGAGUUUCAAUAAAGGUUUUUUGCACUUGAUUUUUCAUCUUAAAGUCAAAAGAACGACCGAGAUACUUAAAGUGGAUAUGACACGAAAAUUUUUAUUGACCGCUAGAUGUAAUCAAGUAUGCUGAUCACGAGAAUCGCCAUAAAAUUUUCGAAGAAUUAAAACUUUCGUAAUUACAGCUAUUUCAAAGUCGAUUUUUCCUUCAAAUUCUGUCAUAAGGGAUUGAGUCGAGUUUUACAGGAAGUUACGUAAAGUGGUUGAAUCUGUCACGGGAUUGUUUCUUGUUUUUAAGCAAUGUAAAUGACGGCGGAGUUUUACCUGCGAGUCUUUGAACAUGUCUCACGGCAAAUAUUCAAGCUCAAAUACGUCAGUUUUUGAAGAAAGUGAAGGGAAUAGCUUGUAGGUGCUGCUGAUGGCUUUUGUUGCCUUGCAUAAACGAAACAGUCGUUUCUUCUGCGGAUAAUUCAGACGUGGUACCAGGCGAAGCUGCAUAGCUCGAAGCUUUCAUUCCGGGCAGAAGACGAAGAUGGGAUACAGCAGUCCAAACUGUGUGAUCGAUGGCGAGGAAAAAAAACGUUGAAUCAACGGUGAGUGAAAUAAGUUGUCAUUGUGUUUUUUAGUGUUGUUAAUUCAGUAUUGUCUGUACAUAGCUGCUGUUGCGAUCAGUAGAGAUGGACACAAAUAAACAACUCGCAAGGUUAAACUUCUUCCUUCAGUUUGAAUUCACCAGCCACACUACUCCCUACAUUUACAUAACAAAGUGAAAAACCAUUAAGCGUGCAAAAUAAAUUUUCGAAUUCGUGACACCUUCCCCCUAUUUGACCCAAAUAGGCAUCAAAUAGUUACUAUUUUUUUAACCGUUUUCUCACUCUCUCUCUCUUCGUAUCGGAACCUCUCUGGGUUGGUUUGAAUUCGCUAGCUUGUGGGUUCAAUUCUUUUGUUUUUUAAUAUCACACUCUAAUUUGAAGGGGUACAAUAGUUCGACUGCUCUUUCGAUACGUGUUUUCUUUGACUCCAAUCUUGCUCCCCUCACGAUUCCAUCACGACCUCGGAUCAGCUGCUCUGCAACUCUGAUGUUCCACUCUACUCUGUUCUUUUCAUCACUUUUGAUAACAACAACUUGACCGAUAUAGAUCUCGUCCGACUGUCUGUCUUUCUUCUGAAGAUUAUGGCUUUUCCUUCAGGGAACGAAUAUACUCAUUAGGCUAUCCUUUCAACAGAUUUUCUCUACACUUCAAAUACCAUAUAUGAAAACUUUCUAUAAAAACCAAAUUAUCCUAAUUACAAUUCAAUAUUUACAAUCUAAAAUAUAUCCUCUUUUAACUUGAAUUCAAUUUUACUACAAAUAUCUAUAACGAAAGGUGAAAUGGUAAUUUCCAAUAUGCAAUUUACAAUUAUGCCUAUUUACAAUUUUGCAAGAUUUUUUUAAGUUUGUCAAGGAAGAUGCCUGUUUACACCCAGCUGAAAGGCCAUUUCAAGACCUAGCAUUUCUGUCCAUUUUUGGAGUUUUUUUGGUAGCCUUUGGUCAAUUGAUGUAUUCCAAGAUUCUUAAAAUUUAACUUGGAUUUGAAGGGAUCACACACGUAUUGUGGAGCCAGUCCAUGAAUCGAUUUGAAGACCAUGAUAUUUGACUCACUAGUGAUUAGCUCCUCUAUGGUCCUCCAGCAAAUUUAAAAGAUAUUUCCCUUCAGAUUCGGAUUGCGAGCAAGGAAUUAUGGUAUGGCUCACGAUAUUGAUUUGAUGACGACAUUAAGAUAAACAUUUUAUAAGGGAUUUGACUGUGAUUGCCGACGUGUAAAGUUUCCCCCGGAAUGAUUUUUGCAGUCAAAUCCCGUCAUUUCUCUACGAAAUUUAAAAUUCAAGCACAAACAAUAUGAAAGAUUGUAUCCAACCUAAAAUUAUGGUGAUAAAAAUCUGAACUUAAAAAAAUCGUAUAAUGAAGUUUGGAGAAAUUUCCAAAACAAGGCCGUAAGUCGAAUUGGAGUAUGGAUCGAUCAGACUAGAUAAAUAUAAAAAUAACUUUGAAGAUAAAUAUAGGAUGUAAGAUAUAUAAAAAAGUAAUAACGGAAUGAUCAAAUUUUGCCGGGGCCUUUUUUGCAACAAAAUCUUUGUUAUGGGAGCUUAAUUUGCCAAAUCACUUUCCAACCUGCAUCAGUUUCAGAUCUGUAGCACAUUAGGCUCAACAUUUAGAAUAUCGUCGUGAUAAAAUUUUGUCUUGGAUUAAAGCAAAACAGAGAUCCUUGGCAAUACAAAAUACUAUCAGUAUUCUAAGAGGCAAAACAACCAGAUCCUUGGAGACUUGGGGGCUUGAACCUCACUGGCAAUUUGGCCUUUCUGACAACAUUUUCAUUCAUAACAGCAUUUUAGAAAAAUUCAAAACAAAAGCGGAAUGUCUCCUACGUUCAUAUGAAGGCAAAUCAAGUUUUUUCCAGCUCACAAUAAGUCUAUAUUCGUAAUCAAUACGAUAUGAAAGUUUAUAAACACAGUCCAAUUAGAGGUAUAAGUAAAAUAUAAGUAUGAGAAUCGGAAAGUACAAAACAACCUCUUAUACGAGAAAGUGAACCACGAAAUUUUGCUGUCUUAAGCCUUUAAACUUUGUGUUAAAAAACUCAAAUACAAUGAAAGAAUGAAAGAAAUAGUACAGUUGAACUAUAAAAAGACAGAGGUGGAAUCUUUUGAAAUCGGCAACAUAAAUAGUUAGAACUACUUUUAUCGAACGAUUAGAAUGAAGGCAGUUCAAGAGCUAGACACCUUACAAAUGUGGCAAUAGAUGUGCAUCAAAAGGUUAGAAGGUAAAAAUAUUAAUCAGCCUAGUAUGAAUACAUCUCUUGGCAACCUAAAUAAUAAUAAACUAAAACAUGACAUCAAAAUAAUGUGCCCCUGCAAAGUUCCUUGACAGUCGUUGCAACUGAUCUAAAAAGUCUUCCUGUUGAGAUCAAUGGGUUGUUCUGCGGUCAUUCCCUGAUCGUUCCGCUAGUUCCCUCCUCAUUCCGUGGUCUUUCCGCUAGUUCCGUGGUCAUUUCUUAGUCGUUCCGCUAGUUCCACGCAUGUUCCACUAGUUUUUCGUAUUAGCAACGUUGGUCAAUCAGUUUCGAAACGACUGUGGCUCUUUGAUGUAUUUCUACAGCUAGCUGAUUGUGAUCUUCGUCCACUUUUCUGGUGCUCGGCGUUGGCAGCUGUAAUAAUCUGCGUCCCAUCAGCAAAUGCGAGGGUGUGAGAGGUUCCUGAAGGUCAUUUGGAUAAACAUAGCUUAGUGUACGCGAAUUUUAGACACCAUACAUUUACAUACCCCUAUACUCUUCUCUAAGCAAAGUUUCACUCCCUUUAUGGGCCUUUGGCCAGAUUGAAUUUCCAAGAAUGCGCUUAUUAGCCAAGAAUGCUUUAAGAGUGGACGAUUUUAAGAUGGUUAAAAGUGUCUUGGAAAAUGCCUUGGACGUCUUUGUGUUGUUGGUAACUAUUGUAUCUGUUAUCCCUCUACUGGUAACAAAUCUAAGAAAACAAAGUAAGAAGGUUUGGACUGUCAGGUCUGAAACGAGUUUUAUUAUUUUCAUUAUUAGUAUGGUAUACAUUUUAGAGCUAACUGUUGGCUUCGAAUCCAAUCUUGAGACAAAUGCUACAAGAAGACACAGCAAGUAUGCUCCUCUCUUAUCUGGUUUACAGCGGCAGUUCAAAUGUGUCUCCUUUGUUAAUCUUUCUAUGAGCUCUCUUGGCAUCUUCGGCAACUCCUGCAAUUCAUUCUUUAAAAUGUGUGACUCUCUCUCCAUCGAUCAGCAACAAAAACAGUAUCUCAUUUCUAAACUUUCCAACAUUGCCAUCCGUACUACGUACUACAUAUUUUGUUGCAAAAAUAAGCCAUGGACAAAUCCGGAAUUACACCCUUUUUAACUUUAGUUGUUUUAUUUUAUUUUUCUCAGUUUUUCCUUUUACCUUACGAUUGUUAUAGUUUUUUCUUGUAAAUCCAGCCUAGCCAAUUGCAAAUUACCUUGUAAUAGUGAGAUUUGUAGUUGUAGUUUAAGUUGAAUUGAAAAUGAAAUGUUUCCAUUAUUAUUAUUAUUAUUUUGUUCUUAGAUGUUAUUGUUAUUAUUUCGUGCUUGGGAUAUUGCUGUUUUUUGCAAUUUUCUCGCUCUGCGGAAAAGAAUUUCAGGCCUUAGGCAGCCAUACUUGGAGGUGCAAGCAACUGUUGGAGAACAAUGACAGUGGCCCGUCGGGAUCAAUUAACAUUCCAUUUAUUGAAACAGAAUAGGAAAGCGCGUCUUUCAUCAACAAAUUUAUUGUCAAAUGAUCAUGUGGUAAAGAAUACAAGGGGAUGAAAGGAUUGAAAAUGCACUCACAUCACGAAUCACGAUAACUUCAUUUCAAAGAACCGUUUUUGGGGAUACGUCAAAUGUGUUCUUCAAAGAAGCUCAAAUCUUCUACCUUCCUUUUCCAAAGAUCAGUGCUCUCAGUAUUUCUUUAAAAUGUUUUCUUCUCUGUCGCCAUGCAUAAAGUUUUCUAUUCAUUCAUGGAUUGCAUAUCUUAGGGAGCCUAAUCACCCUUUUCCUUUGGAGCCUCCUUUUUAUAAAAAUAUCACAUCAGUUAUUCGGCGUAUGAAAUCUUCAGCCACUCUAUGUCCCCGUGACAAAAUGUCCAUCAUUGUUUUUAAACGUUGUCCACAUUUGCGCUCUUUAAUAACUAAUAUCAUUCAUAAUAUGUGGCUCUCUGGAAAAGUUCCUUUAGAGUGGAAAAAAAGCAUGCACUAUCCUAAUUCACAAAAUGGAUAGCAAUGACGAUCAAGCAAAUAUCAGGCCAAUCACUCUUGAGCCAGUGCCUUUGAAAAUUUUCACAUCAUGCCUGUUUGACAGUCUAUUCAAUUUUCUUAAAGUAAAUGGUCUCAUUGAGCACGAAAUUCAAAAAGGCUUCACCUCGAAUAUUUCAGGGACCUUAAAGCAUACUGCCAUGAUGGCUCAGGUCGUAUACAAAACUCGAGUCAAGCAACGUUCACUAGUUGUCACUUUUCUCGAUCUUAAAAAUGCAUUUGGAGAAGUACAUCAUAAUUUGAUACCCACUGUACUGUCUUAUCAUCAUAUCCCUGACAACAUACAACUUCAUAUCUCUAGCCUUUACACCAAUUUUAAAACCUUUAUCAUCACAAGCCACUAUAAUACUCUAUUUCAGUCCGUCGUGGUGUUUUUCAAGGCCACUGCCUCAGUCCCCUAUUAUUUAAUUUAUUCUUCAAUACAUUUGUUCAGUACAUAAAAGGUGAAGAAUACAAACAGUUAGGUUUCUCCCCACAUUGUCAGAACGACCGUAUGUUUCAACCAGUCCAUUGGUUUCAAUUUGCAGACGAUGCUGCCGUUAUCACCAGCAAGGAGAAAGAAAACCAACUUCUACUGAAUUGUUUCACUUGCUGGUGCCAAUGGGCUAACAUGAUCAUACGUGUUGAUAAAUGCAUCAAUUUUGGAAUAAAAAAUUUUUCCUAACGUUCUCUUCAGUAUCAACAUAGGCUUUUCAUAAACAACAAAUCUAUCCCACCUGUCUCGAAUGGAAACUCUUUUAAGUACCUCGCUUGUCAUUUUCACUUUGAAAUGACAAACCAAGAACACAAACCUGACCUUGAAUCAUCACUGUCCAGCAUGCUUAAACAAGUCGAUUCCCAGCCUCUUCAUGCAAAAAAUAAGCUGCUUCUUUAUCACAACUUUGUUCUUUCUAAAAUCUCCCGGAAUCUUAUUGUAGCAGGUUUUUCAAAGACCUGGGUUGUUGAGAAUCUUGACAACCUCGUAUCCAAAUACAACCGCCAGUGGCUCGACCUCCCAAUAAGUGCUACCUUGUGUAGCAUUAUUCUUUCUAAAAACCAGUUUGGACUCAGCUAACUUCACCAUCCGCGAAAAUUCCUACAGUGUCAAACAGUUUUACGCAACGCACUGAAAUCUUCACCAGACAAUAACAUGUGUUCUUUAUGGAAAAAUACCAACAGUAGCACAAAUUUACGAUAUGAUAUAUAUAGGAACACGAAAGAAACAUUAAAGGCUGUCCAGCAAGAGCAUAAAGAUCGUCUGCAAAACAUUCUAACUUCUCAAGAAUCUUUAUUAUCACAUCUUUUUAACCAGGAUCUUUCGCAAAUAAACCAACUUUGGUCCAAGGUGCAAGGUAUCAUGCUUCAAAAUAUUUUCAAUUUCACAAUAAGGUACCUAAACAGUGCCCUUGCCACACAGAAAAACUUGAAAAAGUGGAACUUGAGCCAGACCUCUGACUGUUCUUUCUGUUUUCUGCGAGAAACCCUCCUUCACGUUGUUGCUGGCUGCAAAACAUAUCUGGAACAAUGCCUAUACACCUGGCGACAUAACUUUAUCCUAAACUCUCUAGCUACAUCACUAAAAGCUGUCAAUGAAUGCUUUCUUUCACCAUCACUCAUAACUGGAGAAAACUUUUGCCCUCAUCUUCUCUUCAGGACUAACAACAAUUACCUCUAAAUUUUAGAGCUAACUGUUGGCUUGGAAUCCAAUCUUGACACAAAUGAAACAAGAAAACACAGCAAGUAUGCUGCUCUUUUAUCUGGUUUACAGCGGCAGUUCAAAUGUGUCUCCUUUGUUAAUCUUUCUAUGAGCUCUCUUGGCAUCUUCGGCAACCCCUGCAAUUCAUUCUUCAAAAUUUGUGACUCUCUCUCCAUCGAUGAACAACAAAAACGGUAUCUCAUCUCUAAACUUUUCGAUCUGUACUAUGUACUACAUAUUUUGUUGCAAAAUUUACCGUGGACAAAUCCGGAAUAACAUCCCUUUUAAUUCUGGUCGUUUAAUUUUUUUUCAGUUUUCCCUUAAUUUAAUUUUUUUAGUAUAGUAUUUGGUCGUUUAAUUUUUCAGUAUAGUAUUUUCUUGUAGAACCAGGCUAGCCAAUUGCAAAUUACCUUGUAAUAGUGAGAUUUGUAAUUGUAGUUUUCAGUUGAAUUGAAAAUGAAAUGUUUCCAUUAUUAUUAUCUGUUUGCCGCCCAUUUUCUUUGAAAGGUUCAUAAUUUGUCCUUGAGGUUUGGUGACAGCAAGUCUCCUAAAAACGCGAGGACUUUCCUGAGGAUUCUGGUAGAAUUCAAGAUGACUGUUCUCUGCAGUUCAAAAUUUUGGUCUCAAUUCCGAUUUCUUUUAGCCUUUUCUUUUGGUCUUUAGGGGCCGUUCCAAGGGCAUCAAUAUAUAGGUAUGAUCCGCAUACUCAUGUUCCACAAUGUUUUGAGUUCCCUGGCCAGAUCUUGAUAUUUCUCUAACUUUUCGAACUCUUUUGUUUAAACUCGACUGUCGUAUGGAAUUGCGACCUCCACUAUCAGGCAUUCAUUUUUCACUUUAUCCUUAACGACUAAGUCUGGGCGCCUUGCUUGUAUGACGUGAUCUAUUGGUAUGUUCAAGUCCCAAAGAAUUGUACAGACAUCGUUUCACAUCGUUGUCUCUGGACUGUAUUUUUACGUUUUGCGUUACGUUUUUACGUUCAUACGAUUUGCUUUUUAGAUCAAGGCCAUAUUUCAGGCAAGCUUCCCAGUGAAUCUUUUUCCCGGCCAAAUGAUGAUGUCUUUUAAACUGUUUUUGCACCAUCUUGCUGCAUUCACUUAAGCGAUGAUUGACUGUUUCAUCAGCUUGUUUACACAUUCGGUAUAGGCUAUCCUCCUGCGUUUGUUCGAUUUUUGUUUGAUCUGAUUUGUUCUAAUUUCUUGUUCCUGCGAAGCUAGGAUGAGCGUUUCUGUUUCUCUUUUAAUUCCUCCCUUACUAAGCCAUCCUCACCAAUAAUUGCUAGCAACUGCUUGUGUUUGUCUUAAAAACUGUCCAUGUUACGCAUUGUCGGUCCAGUCUUGCUUACGUUCCUUUGUUCUUCUUCUUUUGAAUCCCUUUGCUGUUUCUGAUAUAUCUUCUGGUUUCCUUGCGGCAAUGACCAGCUUUUCUUCACUCUCCUGUAUGUAUUACUGUAGUGCAAGUAUCGCUGUUCUCGUGCUGUCUUUAAUAAGACCUUAUCCGCCUUCUUUCCUUGAUUGGUAUAUUCUAUCUACAUUGCUCUAUGGGUGCAAAGCUUUGUGCAUCGUCAUCAACUUUCUUGUUCUUCGACCCAAAGCUAAAAGCUCAUCUUUGUUCCAGUCUAGAAAGGGAGCUCAAUAUCGGAUGACAGCUACUGCCCAAGUAUUGAUAGCUUUAAUUAAGUUAUGGCCAUUAUGGCCAUUCAGCUUUGUCUCUAAGACAUUCCUUAUUUAUCUUUUGUAUUCUUUCUUCAUCUUUUCUUUCAUUUCUGAUCUUUUCAAGUAAUCUGCCUCAAGCACUCCGAGAUAUUUGUAGCUUUCAUCUUCCUUUACACUACUAAACUUUCUCUCGUCAGGUAAUUUUACACCUUCUGCCUCGACAGUUUCCCCCCUUUUCAUUAUCAAUAUAGCACAUUUAUCUAAACCAAAUUCCAUCCCAAUAUGUUCACUGAAUAUUCUUACUGUUUGAAUCAAAGACUCUAGAUCUUUUUCAUUCUUUGCAUAGACUUUGAGAUCAUUCAUAAACAGUAGGUGGUUGAUCUUUUCAUUGUUUGAGAUAAAAUUAUAUCCUGCUUUUACCUUCCGCAGCACACCAUUCAGGAGUAUACGAACAAUUACAAAUAGUAGCGGUGAUAAGGCAUCCCCAUGGAAUAUUCCUUGUUUUAUGUUUACUUCUCCAAGUUCUUGCUUUCCGCAAGUGAACUCUACUUUCCACUUCUUCGUGCUUUCUUUCAAUAGGUUUUGAACCUUCCCGUUAUUUCCUAGAUUUACUAGACAUCCAAUUAUCCAGCUAUGCGGGAGCAUGUCGUAUGCUUUCCGACAAUCUAUCCAUUCCAUGGCUAGAAUCCUUUUUUCUUGAUUUGACUUCCUUCAUUAUCAUUUUGUCUAUAAAGCGCAGGUCUGCAGUUCCUUUAGAGUUACGUCUGCAACCUUUUUGCUCCUUGGGUAGAAAAUUGUGUCCUUCAAGAAAGCUACACACUUCAUUUGCAACAACUCCAGUUAAAAGCUUCCAGACAAGUGGAAGGCAUGUAAUAUGUCGAUAGUUACUGGCGACUGUACCUUCGCUACAAUCUUUUUUGAUAAGUACAGCCCUUCCUUUUGUAUAAGAUGCAGGAGUUUUAACUGUUUCUAAGCAGAGGUUAAGAUGUUCUGCUAGUUUUGAAUGGGAAUUCUUUAGCCGAUAUCCCUGUACGCCAUCAGGUCCAGGAGCCUUCCAAUGGGGGAACUUUUUAAAAAUUGCUUUGACUCUCUUGUCUGUGAUUGUUAUGUUACUCUGCUGGCAUAUACCUCUAACUUCACAGCGAAAGUUUUCUAACCAUUCUGCUUUUUUAUUGUGAUCAACUUAUUUCCCAAAAAUGUCUUUCGUUGUUGGUAUCUCUUUAUCUUUCCCGUUUUCGCUCCUAUUCUUUGCUUAAUUUCCUCUCUCACAGUUUUGUUUCAUUUUGUAUUUUCUCUGAAGGGAAUCUUGAUGUUUUUUUUUAUAUUUGCUUUUGCUGAAUCAAGUUGUUAAUCCUGCUAAGAUCUUUGUUCAGUUGUCUUACUUGGUCCUCUGAUCUUCUCCUCCACCAUGGCACUUUCUUUUCUUUUUGUUUUCUACGCAUCCCCACCAUUUGAGUUACCAAAGCUGCUCCUCCGUACAUCAGAUGCAUUCACAUGAGUUAUAUCUUUUACCUGCACCUUUCCCAACACCGUAUUAACCUUAUUAACCACUUUUUUUAACUUCUUACUGUCAACUCCCUUCAACGGUGGUAAUCUUCCUCUCUGUUGUCUGCCAAAAUCUUUUAUCUUCUCCAUAAGCAGCUUCUCUUCCUCAGUUACGCUUGUCUCAUCAUACACUAUAUGUGGAGGUAUCUCAUUUAUAUACUCAUUGGUAAGCUGUUCUCCUAUGCAUUCAUCUCCUUGUCUAUUGGUUACAUUGUUAUUUGGUGUUGCAUUCGCUUGUUGAUUUUUUUGUCAUCUUCCAUUGUUCCCCUAUGCCACCUUCUAUAAUAUUUCCUACUUGACCAUAUUCAGCAUCAUCAAUUGACCUUCUUAUGGCUUCAAGCUCUAAUUCAGGUAGCCAUUUCUUCUAUAUUAUUUGAGUCUUUUGAUCGAUAAGUCUCUGCUAUGUUAUUACAAACAUGCCCUAUUCAAACCAUAAGUUAUGCAUUCUCUUUCGAUAACCAAUUUUCUUUGGGUUGCUUCUGUGAAAGCACUCUAUUACAACUCUAUUUUCUUCGUGAGACCAUCGGGUCCUCCUAGCAGUAGCUGGAUGACGACCGGGAACAUGCUGCUGGACCAUGGUACACCUACCGGCUGAGAGACCUUAACUGUUCCAAUCUCAUUCACGCCAUUAUCUUCAUUAUUUGAAUUAGUGGAUAGUGGACUUUAGGUUACACAACCACCAGUGUUUUUAUCAAGACAUCAUCUCUAGGAGGGUUGCCAACCAAAGCUGAAGGGUCCCUCCCACCCAUAAGACAGACUAGCCCCCGCCGGACGCCAACCUGCUACUUCAUGGCCUCGAAGAGAGCUGACAGGUACUACACCUUGCUCAAGGGUGACCUGGAGGUAGUUGCAGCAAAGGGUAACCUCAUUCUUCCACAUCGAAACUCUACAACCGGAUGCAGUUUUAUGUCUUACCCAGGACCAAUUAUUAUUAGUAUUAUAAUCAUUAUUAUUAUAAUUAUUAUUAUUAUUAUUAUGAAUUUUAUUAUUAUUAUUAUUAUUAUUAUUACCUCGGCCGCUUCUUUGACUUCGAAAUGACCAAUGGCAGUCAUAAAGAAAAACUGCUAUCAAUGUUUCCCAGCCUUCUGAAAGAAAUUGAUUAAUUGCCUCUGCAUCCCAAAAAUAAACUUCUAUUGUACCACAGAUAUGUAUUGUCCAAAGUUUCUUGGCACUUCACUGUUGCAGACCUAUCGAAGACCUGAGUCAUUGAGAACCUCAAUAAUCUUGUCUCUAAAUACAUUCGCCAGUGGCUUGAUCUUCCCAUAAGUGCUACUUUAACUAGUAUAGUUCUUUCUAAAAAUCAAUUUGGUCUCGAUCUUCAGCUACCUUCUGUCAAAUUCACUCAAUGCCAAACUGUUUCAGGCAAUGCCCUCCGAACUUCUCCUAACACAAACAUUCAAGCUUUAUGGAAAAACACCAGUAGUGGGAUGAAUCUGCAAUACGACAUUUACCAUUACACCAAAGAUGUACUGAAAACAGUAAAAUCAGACAGUAGAGAGCGCUUGGCACACCAAUUACUAUCCCAGGGUGCUAUUAUUUCAUUUCUGUUGGACCACUCUCUUAAAAAGCUCAAUGGUCUUUGGUCUAUUGUGCAGAGCAACCUACCCACGAACAUCUUCAACUUCACCAUCAAGUACCUGAACAAUACUCUCCCUACGCGCAAAAAUCUAAGCCUUUGGAACCUAAGCCAAUUAUCUGAUUGCGAAUUCUGCCUUCUUCCCGAAACUUUACUCCAUGUCGUUGCAGGCUGCAAAGUUUAUCUCGAACAAGGUCGUUAUACCUGGCGUCAUAAUUCUGCUCUAAAUUUUCUUGCAACCUCCUUGAAAGCAAUAGAGGGAUCCUCUCUUUUUGCCGAUAUACCUGGCUUCUCCUUACCAUCCAUCAUAACUGGAGACAAUCUGCGCCCAGAUCUACUUCUGCGUACAAAGGAAAACAUUCUUUAUGUUUUGGAACUAACGAUAGGAUUUGAAACUAACCUUAACUGCAAUGCAGAAAGGAAACGUUCAAAAUAUGCUCGCCUUGUCUCAGAUCUAAGACCAAGGCUCAAAUCUGUCAUAUUUGUAAAUCUCUCCAUCAGCUCUCUUGGCAUCUUUGGCGACUCAUGCAGCUCAUUCCUUGAAAUGUGUGACUCUCUUUCCAUCGAUGAUCAACACAAACGAUAUCUCAUUUCUAAGCUUUCUUUGAUAUCCAUUCGUACCACCUAUUACAUUUUUUGCUGUAGGAACAAAACAUGGACUAACCCAGAGCUACUCCCCUUUUAACGUUUUUUUUUCUUUUCUCUUUACUACGAUUUGUAAUAGUCUUAUUUUGUAGAAACAGGCUAGCCAGUUACAAAUUACCUUGUAAUAGUGAGAUUUGUAAUUGUAGUUUUAACUGGAAUUCAAAAUGAAAAGUUUCCACUAUUAUUAUUAUUAUGGUUGUUGAGCAGUGGCGUUCAGAGCUCCCGUAUACGGCUCUCGUUUAAAAGCAAGUAUCAUUAUAGCCUGGUUACUUUGUACUCGUAUAUUACAGUAAAAUCGACUAUUGAAACGACAAGGAGUUUUUUAGAAAUGAUUCGUUCGCAUUGGCUUUAGAUUGUUGCACCAUUUGUGGUUUGUUCUUUCUGUGGUCAAGAUUUCAAAACGUUAGGCCGCCAUUCUUGGAGAUGUAAACGAAAGCUUGACGUCAACCACCAAAAUGGCCCCAACGGCUCCCGUUUAUCAACAUUCCUCUAAUUUCCGUAGAAACAAAUGAGGACAUUGUUACGCUAAACAAUUGGAUCAAAUGCUGUUGUGGAAAAAUUUGUAAAGGAACAAAAGGUUUAAAACGACCCUGAUACCUCUGAAGACCUAGUUUGUGAAGUUCAAAGCAACAAAGUCACUAGCAGCAUUGGGUUUCUAGAUGACGUCAAUUUGGAUGUAUUUUUGAAAUUAACCCAGUGUUCGUCUCCCAAAUUCGAAAAACGAAUGGUCCAUUGCAAACGAAUAUUUCAAAUCUACUUUAGCAAAUCUCCCUUUGAAACCGUGCACCAUCAACAAAGCAAUAACCUCAAUGAAUAACUCAAUUUAUAACUAUUUUAAAGAGACUUGUGGUACCAUCGACAAUAUUUCCAACGAUCUGGUCGCGAAAUAUCAAGAUCGAAAAGCCAAGGAAUUAAAAAAGGACUUAAAAUUGCUGAAGAUGAACAAUGUUACUCUUUUAGAAAUUAAAUACGUCUCUCAUCUACUGCGUCACAAAAUCAACAGCAGUGAAGUAUGAUUUCUAACACUACUCAUAUUGCUGAUCAUGAUAAGUUGAUCUCAAAAAAUUUCUGGGGUUACGUUAAAAACAUCUUCAAGAACAUUUCAUCAACCUCCCAACAUUUCUUAAUGAUAUAUGCACUCAGUAUUUUCUAAAAGCUCUUUCCUCUCUCUCACCUACGCAAUGUUUUUCAAUACCAUCUUGGAUACCUACUUUUCAAGAGCCGGAUCACCCUUUUCCGUCGGAGCCUCCUUCAUAUCAGCAAAUUACAACAAUAAUUUGCCGAAUGAAGUCUUCUGCUUCUCCUUGCCCCUUUGAAAAGAUCUCUAUCAUUGACUUCAAACAUUGUCCUUAUCUACGUAGUAAACUUACUGAAAUUUUCCGUGUUAUGUGGCUUUCCGGAGAUAUUCCAACUGAAUGGAAAAAGGCAUGCACUAUCUUAAUCUACAAAAAGGAUAGCACCGAAGAUCCAUCUAAUAUCAGGCCCAUAACGCUUGAGUCAGUACCACUAAAAAUAUUUACUUCUUGCUUGCGUGACUUCAUGUUUGAUUUUCUUAAAAUAAAUGGUUAUAUUGAACAUCAAAUUCAAAAGGCUUCACGUCUAACAUAUCUGGCACUCUUGAACAUACUUCAAUGAUGGCUCACAUUAUCGACAAAGCACGUACAAAACAGUGCUCGCUGGUUGUCACUCUUCUUGAUCUCAAAAAUGCCUUUAGGGAAGUACAUCAUAAUUUGAUACCCACUAUACUGUCUUAUCAUCAUAUCCCUGACAUCAUACAGCUUCUUAUCUCUAGCCUUUACACCGAUUUUAAAACCUCUAUCAUCACAAGCCACUAUAAUACUCCUGCUUUUCCAGUUCGUUGUGGUGUGCUUCAAGGCGACUGCCUCAGUCUGCUACUAUUUAAUCUAUGUUUUGAUACUUUUAUACAGUACAUAAAAGCUGAAAAUACAAACAGUUAGGUUCGUAUGUUUCAACCAGUCCAUUGGUUUCAAUUCGCAUACGAUGCUGCCGUUAUCACCAGCAAUGAGAAAGAUUACCAACUUCUACUGAAUUGUUUCACUCGCUGGUGUCAAUGGUCUAACAUGAUCAUAUGUGUCGAUAAAUGCAUCACUUUUGGAAUAAAGAAAUUUUCCACACGUUCUCUUCAGUAUCAACCUAAGCUUUUUAUAAACAACAAAUCUAUCCCAUCUGUCUCGAAUGGAAACUCUUUCAAGUACCUCGGUCAUCAUUUUGACUCUGAGAUGACAAACCAAGAACAUAAAUCUGACCUUUUAUCAUCACUGUCCAACAUGAUAAAAAAAAUCAAUUCGCAGCCUCUGCAUGCAAAAAAUUAACUGCGUCUUUAUCACAACUUUGUUCUUUCUAAAAUCUGCUAGAACCUUACUGUAGCGGAUCUUUCAAAGACGGGGCUUGUCGAGAAUCUUGACAACCUCGUAUCCAAAUACAUCUGCCAGUGGCUCGACCUCCCAACAAGUGCUACCUUGAGUAGCGUUAUUCUUUUUAAAAACCAGUUUGGACUUAGCCUAACUUCACCAUCCACCAAAUUCCUGCAGUGUCAAUUAGUUUUACGCAACGCAUUGAAAUCUUCACCAAACGGUAACAUUCGCUCUUUAUAUAAAAAUACCAGCAGUAGCACAAAUAUACAGUAUGAUAUAUAUAGGAACACCAAAGAAGCAUUAAAGGCUGUCCAGCAUGAGCAUAAAGAUCGUCUGCAAAACAUCCUAACCUCCCAGGGAUCUUUAUUAUCACAUCUCUUUAAUCAGAAUCUUCCACAAACAAACAAACUUUGGUCCAAGGUGUAAAGUAGCAUGCCUCAGAAUAUUUUCAAUUUCACCAUUAGGUACCUCAACAAUACCCUUGCCACACAGAAAAACCUGAAAAAAUGGAACUUGAGCCAGACCUUUGACUGUUCUUUCUGUUUUCUGCCAGAAACCCUCCUUCAUGUUGUUGCUGGCUGCAAAACAUAUCUGGUACAAGGCCGAUACACCUGGCGACAUAACUCUAUCCUAAAUUUUCUAGCAACGUCACAAAAGGCUGUCAAUGAAUCUACCAUCUACGUUGAUAUACCUGGCUUUCUUUCACCAUCAAUCAUAACUGGAGAAAACCUUCACCCUGAUCUUCUCUUGAGGACUAACAACAAUUACCUCUACAUUUUAGAGCUAACUGUUGGCUUCGAAUCCAAUCUAAACACAAAUGCUAGAAGAAAACACAGCAAGUAUGCUGCUCUUUUAUCUGGUUUACAGCGGCAGUUCAAAUGUGUCUCCUUUGUUAAUCUUUCUAUGAGCUCUCUUGGCAUCUUCGGCAACUCCUGCAAUUCAUUCUUCAAAAUGUGUGACUCUCUCUCCAUCGAUCAGCAACAAAAACGGUAUCUCAUUUCUAAACUUUCCAACAUUUCCAUCCGUACUACGUACUACAUAUUUUGUUGCUAAAAUAAGCCAUGGACAAAUCCGGAAGUACAUCCUUUUUAGUUUUGGUUGUUUUUUUUUCUCAGUUUUUCCUUCUACCUUACGAUUGUUGUAGUUUUUUCUUGUAAAACCAGGCUAGCCAAUUGCAAAUUACCUUGUAAUAGUGAGAUUCGUAAUUGUAGUUUAAGUUGAAUUGAAAAUGAAAUGUUCUCAUUUUUGGUCGUUGAGCGGUUGCGUGUGGACGCUGCUGUACAUGGCUCCGGUUUAACUUAUAUAUAUCACUUAUACAAUAACUUAUUUAUAUCAGGUACUUUAGAACACACUGCACUUAUGGGUGAUAUGAUAAAUAGAGCUCCCAUGAAACAGCGCUCUUUGGUUGUUAUCCUGCUUGAUCUAAAAAAUGCUUUCGGCAAAGUCCACCUAUUCCCACUAUUCUCUCGUACCAUCAUAUACCAUCUCAUAUUCAGGCUUUGAUCUCCAGCUUAUAUUCGGGCUUCAAGACCUCUAUCCUCACAGAUACAUUCCAAACCCCUGCCUUUCCCGUCUGUCGUGGUGUUCUUCAAGGUGACUGCCUCAGCCCUCUUAUCUUCAAUCUUUGCUUCAAUACGUAUAUACACGUAAGUCAUAUAAAAACACGUAAGUCAGUAAAGGCUUUUGCCUUAGAACACAGCUCUUUAAUGGCACUUAUUAUAAACAAAGCUCGAAUCCAACAACGUACAAUUGUUAUAAAUUUGCUGGAUCUCAAAAAUUCUUUUGGAGAGAUUCAUCACAACCUAAUUCCUGAAAUUCUAGACUAUCAUCGUAUUCCACCUGUCAUAUCAACAUCAGUUUCCAAUCUCAAUGUAUACUUUAAAACCUCCAUGAUCACACAUGAAUGCCAUACUCCAUUAAUACCUAUUCGCUGUGCACUUCUUCAAGGUGACUGCUCAAGCUCUCUUCUUUUCAUCCUUUGCUUUAACACCUUUAUCCAGUAUGUCAAGGCCAAGAAAUUUAGACAGCUUGGUUUUUCUCUACAUGAAAGUUGAUUGCUUGGUUUUUGAUUGGUGUGCACAGUAUUGGACUCCCCUUCGACCACUAUCGACCAUUGUCAAUUUCCAAGUAAAUUAGUAAAAUUAACUCAUUGCUCUCGCUUCUGAGAAUUACUUUAUAAUGAAGACACUUUUUCCCUCAAACUUGACAGGGAAAUGAUUAGAAACUUCCAUGUCAAACAUAUUUGCAGCCUGACAAUCGACACUGAUAUACAGCUGUCGAACUGAAUUAUCGAUCAAAUUGGUCGAUGUUGAUUGAAUUGAUUGAUGUCAAUUGAUUCAACCGCUUUCGUUUUAGUGGAAACUGGGCUUAAUCACUCAGAAUGUAUCAGUGGUUACUCCCUGUGUUCAAGAUUAGAAAAUAAACGUUUGGUUCUUGCGGGCCUGGAGCUGCUGAAGAAUAGGCCUUUGCUGUUUGUAAUAACACAGAAGUUUUAGUGUCAAUAUGCAUUGUCAUGGUUGAGUUAGUAGUUGUUAGCUGAGAUACAUUUUAACACGAAUUGCCACUAUCAAAGGAUGUUGAAAGAUGCUGAUUCCCCUGCAACUGUACAGGAUUAGUUGGCGCUGUGAAUUGGCUCCGCGAAACUCCAGGUGUGGAAUGCUGUAUUUGACAAGUGCUGGUAUGAUGGCUUUGUUUUCAAAUAAAACAGUUUAUGAUGCUUGUGCAAUCUCUGGAAAUAUAUCCCUUUUUCAAGCAAACAUAACAAGUUCCAUACUUUUGAAGAAGUACUUUUCUUUGCCCUCUAUCGGUUUACCACUUUUGGAAGGCUUAUGAGGCAUUUUUCCUAUAUUGGCUUGAAUCUUGGAAAAUUGCGUUUUUGUCAUUAAUUAUGCUCCAAACGUUUACAAGAGGCCAGUUGGGUCUUCGAUGGAAUCAGAUUUCAGUUCUCUAUCAGCAGAAACGUUUUUGUUUCAAAUUAGCCCUUUUGGGAGGUUGAUGAGGCUAUUAUCCUUUAUGGGCAUAAAUUGUUUAAAUUACGUUUUUGGCUUUAAGUUAAUUCAGCUCCAAAAGAGUCUUGGUUGUUAGCAGACUUAAGUUCUCUUUCUGCAGAAACUUUUCGUUUCAAAAUACCCUUUUUGGGGAGCUUCUGAAGCGAAUAUCCUAUAUGGGCAUUAAUUAUAUAAAUGACGUUUUUGUUUUUAUUUUGUCUCCAAAGGAUCGCAAAAGGCUAGUUGAGCCUUCGUUUGAAGUAGAUUUGAAUUCCCUUUCUGGAAAAAAUUUUUCUUUCUAAUUAUCCCUUUAGGUGGCUUAUGUGGUAAUAUACCUAAAAUUGGUAUAAAUUAUAUAAAUUACAUUUUCGGUAUUUAUUCAGAUCUGAAAGAUUGCAAGAGGCUGCUUUGGUUCUCUUUGAAAGUAAAUUUUGAUGGUCUAUAUAUGGAAAUUUUUGUCUCAAAUAUGCAGUUUUGAAAGGCGAUAAACCAAUUUUCUUAUAUGGAAAUAAAUCUGGCAUUUUACAUUUUUGCUUCAAUUUAAGCUCGGAACGAUUGCUGUGUCUUUGUUGGCAGCAGAUUUUAAUUUUGUAUGUGUAAAAAAAUUUUUAUUUUAUAAUUUGCACUUUUUUGAGGCUUAUGAGGCAUUUUCCUUCUAUGGGCAUAAAUCGGAAAAUAAAAUGCCAUCAAUUCAGGGACAAAAUAUUCGAGGAGGCUUGAUGGGAGCUUGUUUGAUAUAGAUUUUGAUCAUCUCUUUGAGGAAAACCGCUGAUGUCUUAAAUGCGCUUUUUUGAGGCAAUUGCCCAACUUCCUUUUGAGGGGCAAUAUGCCAGUUUCCUUAUAUGGACAUGAAUCAUGUAAAUUCAGGUCCAAAAGAUUGCAAAAGGCUGCUUGGUUGCUCUUUUAAAGUAGCUCUUUAUUGUUUAUGUGUGGAAAUUUUUCAGUCUCAUAUAAGCAGCUUUGAGGGACAAUAACCCAAUCUUCUAAUAUAAGUAUAAGUCUGGUUUUCUAUAUCUUGCCAAAUUCAGCUCUAAAUUGUUCCAAAGGCAGUCAGGAUCAUUAUUGGAUAAAGAUUUUUAUUCUUGCAUGUGUCAUUUUUUGGCUUCAAUUCAACCCUUUUUGGGGGUUAUGAGGCAAUUCCCUUCUUCUGGCAUAAAUCACGUAAAUAACGUUUUUUGCCAAUAAUUCAGCUUCAAAAGAUUGAAAGAGGCUGGUUGGGUGCUGGUUGGAAGCAGAUUUUAUUGUCUAUCUGUUGAAAAGUUUUUGUCUCAAAUAAGCACUUUUAAGGGGAAAUAACCCAAUUUCCAUUUAUGGUUAAUAAUCCGGUAUUUGUUGUUUUUGCCAUUUAUAUGCUAUAAAGAUCGCAAGAGGCUGAAUUGGUUCUUUUGGAAACAGAUUCAAAUUCUCUUAGUUUGGAAUUUCUUUUCAAAUUAGCAAUUUUGGAAGGCUUAUGGGGAUACAAGCAUAGAUCUUUAUGUUACGUUUUUGCAGUUAGUUUAUUACAAAAGAUGGCAAGAGAAUGAUUGGAAGCUCAUAAGAAGUAGAUUUUGAUUGUCUAUGUGUGGAAAUUGUUUUUAUUUCUCAAAUACGCAGUUUUUAAGGGUAACAACCCAUUUUCCUUAAUUGGGCAUAAAUCUAAUGUUUUGCAUUUUUGCUGUUAAUUCAGCUCCAGAAGAUUGCAAAAGGCUUAUUGGGUGAUCAUUGAAAGCAGAUUUUGAUUUUCUAUGUGUUAAAGAUUUAUGUCUCGAACAAAUUCUUUUGAGAGGCAAUAACCCUAUUUCCUUAUAUGGGCAUAUAUCUGGUGUUUUACGUUUUGCUUUUCAUUCAGCUACAAAAGAUUGCAAGAGGCUGAUUGGGUCUUCGUUGAAAGCAAAUUUUGACUUUAAAUCAUCAGAAAUCUUUUUGUUUCAAAUUAGCACUUUUGGGGGCUCAUGAGGCCAUUUUCCUAUAUGGGCAUAAGUUGUGUAAGUUAUGUUUUUGACGUUAUUUCAGCUCCAAAGGAUUGAAAGAGGCCAAUUGGGUCUUCGUUGGAAGCAGAUUUCAGCUCUCUGUCUGCAGAAACUGUUUUGUUUCAAAACAGACGUUUUCGGGUGCUUAUGAGGGUACUAAGAAAUUUUGCGAUAUUCAAGAAAAUGCACAUGAAGAUGAUGAGAGCUAAGAUGAUGAAAUUCUGGAAGACGAUACCUUAGACGCUGCAGAAUCGUGCCUACAAAUUCAACAAGAAAUUUGUAGCUGGGGCCUCAUAAAUGUUUCUAUUUGAAUAAUCAAAAACACCGAAAUAGAUUUUCCUAAAGACAGAAAAUUGGACUAGGCCUCUAAACUACGCUAUGAAAUGUUAAUAGAAUAAACUCUAGUUGUUUUCACUCCACAUAAAUUUCGACCACAGCAUUAGUAAGUAGUAAUUAAAGCGUCGUGGUUAUUAACAUUUUGCUUUUUCAAGUCACUGUCCUCCAUGCAAUAUUUAGUCUAUAAAUGAUUAGAGUUUAGAUAUACGUGAAAAUACCUGUUAGCAAGCUAUCACCGACUCAAAACUCUUUGUAAUAGUUAUCCAGUCAAAAUAUUGCUCACUGUAAGAGCAAAUUAGCAAACAUGCCUGCCAAAUGAAAGAAGUCAACCCCGAUAACAUCAAAAUACCAAAUGGUGAAGGAUAAAAAAUUCAAACCAUUACCUUAACCUUACCCUAAGCCUUACCAAAAGUAUUUCUAAAAUCCUUUUUGUAACCAAAACCCUAACCCUAACUAUAACACAAAAUUUAAUCUAAAUAUUACCCCUAAUCUAACGAUAGCCCUAGCCCUAGCCUUAACCCGACCCUCGCCCUAACACUAAACCUAAACCUUACUAUAGCCCUAACUCUUAUCCAAAAGACAACCUUAACAGUAACUUCAACCCUAAUCCUCACCCUAAACCUAAGCCUAACCCUAACCCUAACCCUUACACUAGCCCUAUCGAUGACCCUAUCUCAAACCUUAACCCUUAACCUAACCAUAACAAAACCAAACCAUUACCCCAACCAUCACUAGAAACUGUAACGUUAACCUAAACCCUUACCCUAAAACUAACCCUUAUCUUAAACCUAACCCUAACCCUAAACCCAAAUAUUUGACUAACCUUAACUUUGAACUUAAUCCUAACCCUAAGCCUAACCAUAACUCCAACCGUACCCUAACUCUAACCCUAACCUUAACCUUAACUCAACCCUAACCCCAUCCCUAACCCCAGAUCUAACCCAUACAUUAACCCCAAAGCUAACCCCAACCUUAACCCUAACUCUAACCCUAGCGCUAACCAUUACUUUAACCCUAACCUCAAACUAAUUCCUUAACAAACACCUAUCCCUAACCAUAACCCUUACCCUGAACCUAAAUCUUGUCCCUACCCUAGUCCUAAAUUUAACCCUAACCCUAACCCUUACAAUAACCCUAAUCCUAGCCCUAACCUUAAUCCUAAACCUAACCCUUUCCCUAGCACUCACCUUAACCGUAAACCUUACCCUUACCUUAACCCUGACCCUUUCCCUAACCCUAAGCCUAACCCUAACUAUAAUUCUAUCUCUAACCCAAACCCUAAACCAAACCCUAACCAUAGCCCUUAUCCUGACCAUUACCAAAAACCUAACCUCAAAACCAUUACCAUAUCCCUACCUUUAAUUCUUAUCCUAAACCUAACCCUAACCACAUCACCACCCCCUAACCAUAGCAUAACCGUAACCGUAUCCUCAACCCUAUCCAUAGCCCUAAGCUUAACCCUAACCCUUUUACCUUUUUUUAGAUUAUCUAAAGUCUUCUCUUUCUUCUCAUUCUUUUAUUUUUUUCUCUUCUCUUUUUUUUCUUUUACUUUUUUCCGUUUUCUUUUUCUCAUUUGUUCUUUCACUUUUUUAUUUUUUAGACAUUCUUUUUUUAUAUCUUUCAGUACUUUUUUAACUUUUUCUCUUUCUUGUAAUUUAUAUUGCUCAUUUAUUUUUCAUCUUUUGCAUUUAGUUAUAUUUGCCUUUUCUUCAUUUUUCUUUAUCUUUUACCUCUUUUGCAUUAUUUUCCUUUUUUACUGCUUUUUGUAAAUUUUUUGUUUACUUUUUUAUCUUCUCUAACUUUUUUCACUUUUGUUUGACUUUUUUUACUUUUUUUCUUUAAUUUUCCAAUUUCCUUUUUCAAUUUCCUUAUAAUUCUUUUUUUGCGGUAUUUUAAAUUCCUUUACUCUUUUUAUCUCUAUUCAUUUUUUUCUUUCUUUAAAUUUUUGUUCACUGCUUUCUCUUUUUUUCACUUUUUGAUUUUUUUUCCAUUUUUUUUCAUUUUACUUCUUUCUUUUCUAUUAUCUUUUUUUAUUUUUACAUUUUUUCUCAUUUUCAAAUUUUCUUCAUUUUUGUUAUUCUAUAUCAAUUUUUUCACUUCUUUACAAUAUUUUAAUUUUUUGAUUUUUUCUCAUUUUCAAUUUUCUUUCUCCUUAAAUUCUUUGUUUUUUUUUUAAUUUUUUUCACUUUCUUAUAUUUACUUUACCCCAUUAAAUGUUGUUUUAAGCUUUUUUAUUUUCUUAAUUCUUUUAAAUUUUGCCAAUUUUUUUCUUUUUUUCUUUUUUAUUAGUUCUUUUCAUUUUCUUCUUUUUUCAACUUCCUUUCAUCUCUUUGUAUUUCUUCCCUGUUUUUUCUUUUUUUUUUCUUUCUCUCUUCUGUUUUUGAUCAAUUUUCGUUAUUUUCUCACACUGUUACAUUUCUUUAUCUUUUGAAUUUUGUACCAUUUUUUUUAUCUUCAUUUAAAUCCUUUCAAUUUGUUUUGACUUCAAUGUUUUUUAACUUUUCUUCAUAUUUAUUAUUGAUUUUUUUUCACCUUCUCCUUUUUUCAUUUCAUUUCUUAUCCAAUUCUGUAUUCUUUUAUUUUUUUAUUUUUUAAUUCAUUUUUCAAUUUUUAAAAUGUUUGUUCAUCUUUUUUAAUUUCCUUAAUAUUUUUGACUUUUUGAUUUCUAUUUCUUUAAUAUUUUUUAAUUAUUUAAUUCUUUUUGUUAUUUACUUGGCAUUUCUUUCAUUAUUUUCCUGAAGCUUUCUUUUUGUCCAUUUGUUAUUUCUAAACGUUUUUCUUUUCCUUUCAUUUUUUUA